rnacentral:lncRNA from 1 species
UACCCUCAAAGAUCAAAUAUAUCAAAUUUCCUUCCCAAAACUCAAUCUGUAUAAAGCAUACAAUCGGUAUCCAAAAUAUUGGUUUUCCUACUUGCACAUAGAAGAUGCUGUGAUGUAGUGUGAUCUGAAGAUGCUAAAUAGAAUACCGAUAGUAAAAGAAAGGAAAGAAAAUGAGCAACUGGAAGACAAAUUCAGGAGUUCACAUGAUAAAGCAAAUAUUGUCACUGAAAUAUACAUGUAGUCUGAACAUGCCUUCACAUAUACACGCGGAACAAAGUCACCAGGCAAAUUUAAAAAAAGAAAAAAACAAAACAAAGGAAAGGAAAGGAAAGGAAACAUCCGCACUUCAUAUCCAAAUUUUGUGUGCGUAGGCCCUAU